rnacentral:rRNA from 1 species
AGAGUUUGAUCAUGGCUCAGAACGAACGCUGGCGGCAUGCCUAACACAUGCAAGUCGAACGGGAUCUUGACUUCGGUCAGGUGAGAGUGGCGGACGGGUGAGUAACACGUGGGAACCUGCCUUUUGGUUCGGGAUAACCGCGGGAAACUGCGGCUAAUACCGGAUACUCCCGAGAGGGGAAAGAUUUAUCGCCAGAAGAGGGGCCCGCGUCCGAUUAGGUAGUUGGUGGGGUAAUGGCCUACCAAGCCGACGAUCGGUAGCUGGUCUGAGAGGAUGAUCAGCCACACUGGGACUGAGAUACGGCCCAGACUCCUACGGGAGGCAGCAGUGGGGAAUAUUGGACAAUGGGGGCAACCCUGAUCCAGCAAUGCCGCGUGAGUGAUGAAGGCCUUAGGGUUGUAAAGCUCUUUUGCCAGGGAAGAUGAUGACUGUACCUGGAGAAUAAGCCCCGGCUAACUUCGUG